rnacentral:tRNA from 1 species
GAGGGUAUAGCUCGAUGGUAGAGUGUGCACUUAGCGUGCACGAGGUCCUGGGUUCAAUCCCCAGCACCUCCA